rnacentral:rRNA from 1 species
GACGAACGCUGGCGGCGUGCUUAACACAUGCCAGUCGAACGGAAAGGCCCUGCUUUUGUGGGGUGCUCGAGUGGCGAACGAGUGAGUAACACGUGCGUAACCUGCCCUUGACUUUGGGAUAACUUCAGGAAACUGGGGCUCAUACCGGAUAGGAGCUCCUGCUGCAUGGUGGGGGUUGGAAAGUUUCGGCGGUUGGUGCUGGACUCGCGGCUUAUCAGCUUGCUGGUGGGGUAGUGGCUUACCAAGGCUUUGACGGGUAGCCGGCCUGAGAGGGUGACCGGCCACAUUGGGACUGAGAUACGGCCCAGACUCCUACGGGAGGCAGCAGUGGGGAAUAUUGCACAAUGGGCGGAAGCCUGAUGCAGCAACGCCGCGUGCGGGAUGACGGCCUUCGGGUUGUAAACCGCUUUCGCCUGUGACGAAGCGUGAGUGACGGUAAUGGGUAAAGAAGCACCGGCUAACUACGUG